UUAUUGCAACCCAGGAUUUUUCAGCCCCAGUUAUAAAACUCUGCCCUGUGUUUCAGACCACUGGUCAAACUACGUGACCCAAUUUCUGCUGUCCUCACCCUGGCUUAGUUAAUUGGAACAUUGUGCUAAGUACCAAGGUCAGAGAUGAGUCUCUGUGGAUGCUGUAAAGCCAUUUGAUUUUACAGUCUUGCUUAAACCAUAGCUUCUACUUUACUUUUUUUUUCUUUUCGUCAGCAAUCACUGGGGAAGGGAAACCAACACGGAUGCCUCAGUCAAGGAAGAAAAGCUGCCACAUCAUUUCAGUACUAAUAUCGGCUAAGCUUAAUAGAGCAUUUUUAUAAAUUAAGAACUUAAAACGGUAUUAUUUUUAAAAGACUAAAAAUAAAUACAGACAUAGUUUCUAAAAAGAUUUGCAAGUUGAUUUAAUUCAUUUAAGUAGUCCUACAUGUGUCACACCUUCACACACUCAGAAGGUCACACACAAUUUCCUGGUUUGUUGCAUUGACUCUUCUAGGAGAUUUUGUGAAGUACCAGUGCCACCCCGGGUACACCUUGGUGGGGACCGACAUUCUGACUUGCAAGCUCAGUUCCCAGUUGCAGUUUGAGGGUUCUCUCCCAACAUGUGAAGCACAAUGCCCAGCAAAUGAAGUCCGGACUGGAUCAUCGGGAGUCAUUCUCAGUCCAGGGUAUCCGGGUAAUUAUUUUAACUCCCAGACUUGCUCUUGGAGUAUUAAAGUGGAACCAAACUACAACAUUACCAUCUU
rnacentral:lncRNA from 10 species